UGUCAUCUUCUAAACAAAAUCCCUGGUUUAUUUUCUUCGAACAAUCUAUUUUUUGUCGUACUCAGAUCUGUUAGACCCAGUUGAAUUCUAUAUUGCAAAACCCCCAAUUUUGCAAUUCUUCGAUGAUUAAAGCAAAAGAUGUCUUAAUCAAAUAGAUUCAUUGAAGAAUGGAUCCGAUCCUAGUUUUCGGUUCAUACGACGAACGACCUCUUGCCAAUUCCAUUAAUCGAGUAAGUUGGUUAUGAUUCUGUCAAUAAUCCCUUGAUAACACAGUUAGCAUACGGAAGUUUCUCGAGAUUCGAAUUAGAAUAUUAUUUUUAAAAAUAGUAAUUGUUGCUCUACCUUAAUUUUGUUUGAAGUAAUUCCUAAUUUUAGGCAGAAUAGUCAAAAUUUAAUCAGUGGAUAUGAUGAUAAGUGAAUAUUGAUCUGUAUUAUUCUUUACAAUAUUACAAGUUUAUGAUUUUAAGCAUCUGAUUGUUAAAAGAGAAUCAUAUAAUGGAGAAGAAGACAUCUAAAAAGAAGACGUAAUUAUAUAUGUAACGUUACAAUUCGUUUUCGCCAUUUUUUUUCCUCUACUCCAAUAAAAUCUUUAACUUACAAUUUGUUUUGUGAUGAAUAUAUGACCUCCUUUGACAUGGAUCCCGGAGGAGCCAUUUACAAAACUUAUAAGCAGCAAAAGUGCUUGAGGAGACAACAUAAUGAUUCCAAGUAAAGAACUGAGGUAUAUCCUCAAACGUGAGUUCUCUUGCUUCAGCUGAGUAGUGCUAGAUAAGUUAUUGGAAAGUUUGCUGCCAUUUUGAAAGCGAUUUCCGCAGAAGGUUGGUGAGAUAUGUUCUUCACUUUAAAAUCUUGGCUUGUAAACGGGUGAUCCAUUUCUAUAUCCAACUCUAUUUUUCA